GAUGAACGCUGGCGGCGUGCCUAACACAUGCAAGUCGAACGGAGUCCAGCCUUUAAGACCUUCGGGUCAAAGAGGGGAAGACUGAGUGGCGGACGGGUGAGUAACACGUGGGCAACCUGGCUCAUAGAGGGGGAUAACAGAGAGAAAUUUCUGCUAAUACCGCAUAAGCACACACUGCCGCAUGGCGGAGGGUGAAAAGAGAAUCGCUAUGAGAUGGACCCGCGCGUGAUUAGCCAGUUUGCAGGGUAAGAGACUACCAAAGCGACGACCAGUAGCCGAGAUGAGAGAAUGAGCAGCCACAUUGGGACUGUGACAAGGCUCGAAAUCCUACGGGAGGCAGCAGUGGGGGAUAGUGCACGCUGGGAGGAUCCCUGAUGCCGCGACGACGCGAGAGUGAAGAAGUAUUGCGGUAUGUAAAGCUCUAUCAGCAGGUAAGAUAGUGACGGUACCUGAAUAGAAAGCCCCGGCUAACUACGUG
rnacentral:rRNA from 1 species